GAUGAGGCGUAUCUCACGCAGGUUUCUAACCUGCGUAAGAUACGUCUCAUCGAGC
rnacentral:pre_miRNA from 1 species